GGACAGACGGGGGGGCGCCGGUGAGGACUGGAGCCGAGGGCCUGGAUGGAGGGGACUGAGCUGGUCCAGCACCUGGAAGGAUGGAACUGCCAUCUGCAGACAUGGAGACGACGUGGGAGCAGCAGGGCUGGGGACCAGGAACAGUUUCGACCUAAUGAACAUCCGCCUGGAGAUGUCAGGUCUCACCUCUUUGGUACAUUUCUGGGUCCUUGACUGUGUCAGGUCCAAUGCGGGGAUUUCUCCCUCAACAUUCCAACUCAAAUCUAUUGUGUAACAAGUAUUGGUGAGGAUGCGCAGAAACAGGAACUCUCACGUGUUGCUGGUGGGAACACAGUUACCAGGACCCAGCAAUUCCACUCCUAGGUAUGUACCUGAGAGAACUGAAACGGAUGUUCAGACAGAAACAUGCACACGAAUAAUUACAGCAGCAUGAUUCACAAUGGCCAAAAGGUGGAACCAAGGGCCCACACACUGGAACAUCACUCAGCCAUGAAAAGGAGAGAAGCCCUGACAGUCGCUACAACGUGGAUGGACCCUGAGAACACAAUGCUCAGUGAGAGAAGCCAGAUACAGAAGGACACACAGGGUGUGAUUCCACCGAUGGGAAACGUCCAGAACAGGCCAAUCUGCAGAGACAGAGAGUGGAUUCAUGGUU